rnacentral:ribozyme from 1 species
UUACUUUUCUGUUUCGUUUCUUUUUCUUCCUCUUAUCUAUUUUUGGGUAUAAAAAGGGGGGGGAGGGG